rnacentral:rRNA from 1 species
UACGAAGGGGGCUAGCGUUGCUCGGAAUCACUGGGCGUAAAGGGUGCGUAGGCGGGUCUUUAAGUCAGGGGUGAAAUCCUGGAGCUCAACUCCAGAACUGCCUUUGAUACUGAAGAUCUUGAGUUCGGGAGAGGUGAGUGGAACUGCGAGUGUAGAGGUGAAAUUCGUAGAUAUUCGCAAGAACACCAGUGGCGAAGGCGGCUCACUGGCCCGAAACUGACGCUGAGGCACGACAGCGUGGGGAUCAAACAGG